rnacentral:tRNA from 1 species
GUAGCUCAGUGGGAGAGUGGGGGGCUCAUAACCCCCAGGUCCAUGGAUCGAAACCAUGC